rnacentral:ncRNA from 1 species
AAAAACACAGCACUCUGCAAACACGAAAGUGGACGUAUAGGGUGUGACGCCUGCCCGGUGCUGGAAGAUUAAAUGAUGGGGUGCAAGCUCUUUGAUUGAAGUCCCAGUAAACGGCGGCCGUAACUAUAACGGUCCUAAGGUAGCGAAAUUCCUUGUCGGGUAAGUUCCGACCUGCACGAAUGGCGUAACGAUGGCCACACUGUCUCCUCCCGAGACUCAG